AGUUUGAUCCUGGCUCAGGAUGAACGCUGGCGGCGUGCUUAACACAUGCAAGUCGAACGGAACUGUCAUUUUUGAAGCAAUUAGCCUGCUAAGGGUGGAAAUGUUGGCAGUUUAGUGGCGGACGGGUGAGUAACGCGUGGGUAACCUGCCUUACACAGGGGGAUAACACCUGGAAACAGGUGCUAAUACCGCAUAACAGGAAGAGGCGCAUGCCACUUUCUUGAAAACUCCGGUGGUGUAAGAUGGACCCGCGUCUGAUUAGCUGGUUGGCGGGGUAACGGCCCACCAAGGCGACGAUCAGUAGCCGGCCUGAGAGGGUGGACGGCCACAUUGGGACUGAGACACGGCCCAAACUCCUACGGGAGGCAGCAGUGGGGAAUAUUGGACAAUGGGGGGAACCCUGAUCCAGCGACGCCGCGUGAGUGAAGAAGUAUUUCGGUAUGUAAAGCUCUAUCAGCAGGGAAGAAAGAAAUGACGGUACCUGACUAAGAAGCCCCGGCUAACUACGUGCCAGCAGCCGCGGUAAUACGUAGGGGGCAAGCGUUAUCCGGAUUUACUGGGUGUAAAGGGAGCGUAGACGGUUAAGCAAGUCUGAAGUGAAAGGCGGGGGCUCAACCCCCGGACUGCUUUGGAAACUGUUUUUCUUGAGUACCGGAGAGGUCAUCGGAAUUCCUUGUGUAGCGGUGAAAUGCGUAGAUAUAAGGAAGAACACCAGUGGCGAAGGCGGAUGACUGGACGGCAACUGACGGUGAGGCGCGAAAGCGUGGGGAGCAAACAGGAUUAGAUACCCUGGUAGUCCACGCUGUAAACGAUGGAUACUAGGUGUGCGGGGACUGACCCCCUGCGUGCCGCAGUUAACACAAUAAGUAUCCCACCUGGGGAGUACGAUCGCAAGGUUGAAACUCAAAGGAAUUGACGGGGGCCCGCACAAGCGGUGGAUUAUGUGGUUUAAUUCGAAGCAACGCGAAGAACCUUACCCGGGCUCAAACGACACAGGAAUACUUUUGAAAGGAAGUAGCUCUACGGAGCCUGUGUCGAGGUGCUGCAUGGUUGUCGUCAGCUCGUGCCGUGAGGUGUCGGCUUAAGUGCCAUAACGAGCGCAACCCCCAUCGCCAGUUACCAGCAAGUCAAGUUGGGGACUCUGGCGAGACUGCCGGCGCAAGCUGUGAGGAAGGCGGGGAUGACGUCAAAUCAGCACGGCCCUUACGUCCGGGGCGACACACGUGUUACAAUGGCAGGUACAGAGAGAAGCAAUGCGGCGACGCAAAGCGGAACUUGAAAGCCUGUCUCAGUUCGGAUUGGAGUCUGCAACUCGACUCCAUGAAGCUGGAUUCGCUAGUAAUCGCGCAUCAGCCAUGGCGCGGUGAAUACGUUCCCGGGCCUUGCACUCACCGCCCGUCA
rnacentral:rRNA from 1 species